GCGAAGCGAGGUCGUGCGGGCGGGGUAAGAGUUGGGGUGGAAGCGUUGUCCGGAAUUAAUGGGCGGAAAGGGGUCGUAGGCGGUCCAUCGCGGCGGGAGUGAAAAGCUGGGGGUUAACCCCAGGCCUGCUUCCGAUACGGGUGGACUAGAGGUAGGUAGGGGAGAACGGAAUUCCUGGUGUAGCGGUGAAAUGCGCAGAUAUCAGGAGGAACACCGGUGGCGAAGGCGGUUCUCUGGGCCUUACCUGACGCUGAGGAGCGAAAGCGUGGGGAGCAAACAGGAUUAGAUACCCGGGUAGUC
rnacentral:rRNA from 1 species